UAUAUAUAUAUAUAUAUAUAUAUAUUAGUUCAAACAAUUUUUUUUUUUGUGUGUUCAAAUCAGAUAAUUGUUUCUUUGUUUUCUAGAGUGUUGACUUGAACAAGUGUGUGUGUGUGUGUUUUGAAGCAUUCCAUUCAGUUAGAAGUGAUCAAAUAAACUUUUCAUGAAUGCAACAAGUCACUGGGAGUGUUUUCAUUGGACGAUUUUCUUGUGUGUUUUGUUUGUAACAUUUGUCUUUUAUAGAACUUUUCUAAUGACUAACAUUGAGUAAUAAUAAUAAUUGUAAUAAUUGGCA